UACGUAGGGUGCGAGCGUUGUCCGGAUUUAUUGGGCGUAAAGGGCUCGUAGGCGGUCUGUUGCGUCUGCUGUGAAAACCCGGGGCUUAACCCCUGGCUUGCAGUGGAUACGGACAGACUAGAGGUAGGUAGGGGAGAAUGGAAUUCCCGGUGUAGCGGUGAAAUGCGCAGAUAUCGGGAGGAACACCGGUGGCGAAGGCGGUUCUCUGGGCCUUACCUGACGCUGAGGAGCGAAAGCGUGGGGAGCGAACAGG
rnacentral:rRNA from 1 species